CGCAGUGGAAAAUGGAGGGUCUUCUGGGGGUUUGGGGUUGGGAUUUGGAUCCAUUUUGUUCUUCUAAGAGAAUGGCAUUGAUAUCUUUGAAAGAUGAGCAGGAGAAGUACCUAGGUGAAGGUGGCUCCGGCGGACGUGUGUGAGCCCUACUUGGUGAUCUCAGCCACUCUACUGUGUCCAAAAAAGUUAGGUUACCUGCAGUUUUCUUAGGAGGGAAGUAUGUUGGCGGGGCCAAGGAGAUCAAGGAGAUGAAUGAGAGUGUAAUGGCAGCCAUAAGAUCUACUCUGAGAAGCAUGGGUUUAGGACCUGCACAUCCGGUCUGAUUAAGUGCGGCCUAUGUUAUCCCGUGCAAUGUAAACGGUUUGAUUAAGUGCGGCAUAUGUUAUCCCGUGAAGCGGCGAGAACUUUAUUUUCUGCUGGUCGCUCAACGACGAAGGUUUAGCGUUAUUGAAGUUUAGAGAAAGAAUAGUGAGUGAUCCGUACGACGCGUUGAAGAAUUGGAAGGAUGAGGAUGGAGUUGUUAAUCCGUGUUAUUGGUUUGGAGUUGAGUGCUCUGAUGGCAAAGUUGUCGAAUUGAACUUGAAAGAUCUUUAUCUUGGAGGAACACUAGCACCUGACCUCAGAAACCUUGUUCGCAUAAAGUCUAUCAUUUUGCACAACAAUUCUUUUACUGGCAUCAUUCCUGAAGGGAUUGGAGAGUUGAAGGAGUUGGAGGGGCUAGAUUUUGGAAAUAAUAACUUCAGUGGGCCACUCCCUCCUGUCCUUGACAGUAGUCUCUCUUUGACAAU